rnacentral:rRNA from 1 species
UACGUAGGUUACGAGCGUUGUCCGGAUUUACUGGGCGUAAAGAGCGCGCAGGCGGUCGUUCAAGUCGAGUGUGAAAGCCCCCGGCUCAACUGGGGAGGGUCACUCGAUACUGAUCGACUCGAAGGCAGGAGAGGGUAGUGGAAUUCCCGGUGUAGUGGUGAAAUGCGUAGAUAUCGGGAGGAACACCAGUGGCGAAGGCGACUACCUGGCCUGUUCUUGACGCUGAGGCGCGAAAGCUAGGGGAGCAAACGGG